rnacentral:rRNA from 1 species
AUGGCGGUGGAGGUCGACAGCACCUGGAAGCGCGGGGCGGCGGCCUUCCUGGACGACCCCUUCGAGGUGCUGCAGGCGAAGCGGGGCCGGUGCUCACCGUCCGCCACCGCGGCCUCGGUUGCCGACCUCGGCAUCAACAUGCAGUUCGACCCCGUCGAGGCGCUCCAGUCCGUCUUCCCCGGCGCCGAUCCGCAGGUGACCCAGAAGUUCCCUUUCAUCAACAGUUACAGAGUGUUUAGAGUUCCGAGCUCUGUCGUCGUCGGCAGCCUUGUGAAAUGCCAACUGGUCGUCGCUUCUUUCAGUGCUGACGGGAAACACGUAGAUGUUACUGGACUGCAAUUACCCGGCAUGCUGGAUGACAUGUUUGCAUACACAGGACCGCUCGGUGCGAUUUUCAGCGAGGACUCUGUGAGCCUGCACCUUUGGGCUCCUACAACACAGGAUGUGAGUGUGUGGUUCUUAGAUGGUCCGCCGGCCCUGCUCUAG